AAGACCUUGCGCUUUGGGAGCGGCCGAUGUCUGAUUAGCUAGUUGGUGGGGUAAAGGCCUACCAAGGCGACGAUCAGUAGUUGGUCUGAGAGGACGACCAGCCACACUGGGACUGAGACACGGCCCAGACUCCUACGGGAGGCAGCAGUGGGGAAUUUUGGACAAUGGGCGCAAGCCUGAUCCAGCAACGCCGCGUGAGUGAAGAAGGCCUUCGGGUUGUAAAGCUCUUUCAGUCGAGAAGAAAAAGCUGCAGUGAAUAACUGUAGUUCAUGUCGGUAUCGACAGAAGAAGCACCGGCUAACUACGUGCCAGCAGCCGCGGUAAUACGUAGGGUGCGAGCGUUAAUCGGAAUUACUGGGCGUAAAGGGUGCGCAGGCGGCUUUGUAAGUCAGAUGUGAAAUCCCCGGGCUUAACCUGGGAAUU
rnacentral:rRNA from 1 species